CAAACCCGUCCCGCAAAACCCAUC
rnacentral:siRNA from 1 species